AAGUCGUAACAAGGUUUCCGUAGGUGAACCUGCGGAAGGAUCAUUAACACGCUCUUGAAUCCAUAUUCAAACCCAAACGCGAACCUUUCUUCUCCCUAUGUGAGAAUCCUUCUCCAUAGGCUACCCGCUUGUGUGGUUUCACUCCACACAAGUGUGAAUCCUUAUUUUUACCCCAAUCUCAACCCUUCUGUCUAUUCAGUUCCUCCUGGCGUUCAGCGCCUGAAGCGAAUUGAACCUCAUAUAUGAGCCUGCGACCUCGCAGUCUCCCAGUGACUCUCUUCUGAGAAUCACGAAUACAAAUAGUUGUAAACACACAACUCUUAGCAAUGGAUAUCUAGGUUCUC
rnacentral:misc_RNA from 1 species